UUAUAUUCUACUUGCUAUAAUUAAUAAAAUUUUAAUUGGAUAAUGAUCCAUUGUGGUCUCAAUUUAUAACAAUUUUCUGGUGCCGUGACUCGGAUAAGGAACGGUGGGCUUUGGUCCUCCGGGGAGGCGCCCCGCGACAUUUCGCGGCCCCGCGACCAACAGCUCACCCCAACCUUACCGACGAACCUAAAUUCUAGAAUAAUGAGCAAAGGAGAAACCGGUAAAAUCCCAUAAAAAUUCUGUGCACGGGAGUCCGGACGAAGACGCAGGAUGCUUAAAGCUGCAAAGUGGGAAGCCUAUGUGAAUAGGCAGAAAGCCAGAAACAGCUGUCCUCCUGAAGAAUUCCCUUGCUGCCGAGAAGAUGGUACACCCCGUGGCUCGAAGCAACCGAGUCGACGGGCGAGGCAGAAGAGGAACAAACUGUGGAGAAAAGAACCAGAACAAUGGGACGCAAAAGCAGCAAUGGCCGAACUUCCCCAGGACUGGUAAAAAUAUACUUAAAUUGGCAAAAUUGACAAACACCCUUUUUCCUGGUA